rnacentral:rRNA from 1 species
CCUACGGGAGGCAGCAGUGGGGAAUAUUGGGCAAUGGGCGCAAGCCUGACCCAGCAACGCCGCGUGAGGGAAGAAGGCUUUCGGGUUGUAAACUUCUUUUCUCAGGGACGAAGAGACUGAGGGUACCUCAGGAAUAAGCCACGGCUAACUACGUGCCAGCAGCCGCGGUAAUCCGUAGGUGGCAAGCGUUAUCCGGAUUUACUGGGUGUAAAGGGCGUGUAGGCGGGACUGCAAGUCAGAGGUGAAAACCACGGGCUCAACCUGUGGCCUGCAUUUGAAACUGUCAGUCUUGAGUACUGGAGAGGUAGACGGAAUUCCUAGUGUAGCGGUGAAAUGCGUAGAUAUUAGGAGGAACACCAGUGGCGAAGGCGGUAUGCUGGACAGAAACUGACGCUGAGGCGCGAAAGCGUGGGGAGCAAACAGGAUUAGAUACCCUUGUAGUC